rnacentral:rRNA from 1 species
GGGUCUGAUUAGCUAGUUGGUAGUGUAAUGGACUACCUAGGCGACGAUCAGUAGCUGGUCUGAGAGGACGAUCAGCCACACUGGGACUGAGACACGGCCCAGACUCCUACGGGAGGCAGCAGUGGGGAAUUUUCCGCAAUGGGCGAAAGCCUGACGGAGCAAUACCGCGUGAGGGAGGAAGGCUCUAGGGUCGUAAACCUCUUUUCUCAGGGAAGAACACAAUGACGGUACCUGAGGAAUAAGCAUCGGCUAACUCCGUGCCAGCAGCCGCGGUAAUACGGAGGAUGCAAGCGUUAGCCGGAAUGAUUGGGCGUAAAGCGUCCGCAGGUGGCGAUGUAAGUCUGCUGUUAAAGAGUCUAGCUCAACUAGAUAAGAGCAGUGGAAACUACAUAGCUAGAGUACGUUCGGGGCAGAGGGAAUUCCUGGAGUAGCGGUGAAAUGCGUAGAGAGCAGGAAGAACACCAGGGCGAARGCGCUUUGCUAGGCCGUAACGGACAUAAGGAGAAAGUUA